AUUGAACGCUGGCGGCAGGCCUAACACAUGCAAGUCGAGCGAGCGGCGGACGGGUGAGUAAUGUAUGGGGAUUGCCUGACAGAGGGGGAUAAAUACUGGUAACGGUGGCUAAUACCGCCUACUAGCGGAUAGCCCAUAUGGGAUUGGCUAGUAGGUGGGGUAAAGGCUCACCUAGGCCACGAUCGCUAGCUGGUCUGAGAGGAUGAGAGGCCACACGGGGACUGAGACACGGACCAGCGUCCUACGGAUGCAGCAGUGGGGAAUAUUGCACAAUGGGCGCAAGCCUGAUGCAGCCAUGCCGCGUGUAUGAAGAAGGCAUUAGGGUUGUAAAGUACUUACAGCGGGGAGGCGUUACCCGCAGAAGAAGCGCCGGCUAACUACGUGCCAGCAGCCGCGGUAAUAC
rnacentral:rRNA from 1 species